CGUGUACACACACGAUAGGAAUGGAAACCAUAAAGCUUUAGAAGCUUAGUCUACCUUUAUAAUAAUAUAUUAAUAACAACAAUAAACAGAUAUUAUAUUUCAUUGUCUAUUGAUCAUCGUAUUUAUCUGGGAAUCAGAGUAGUAGAAUCUAGAAUGGGAUCUUUAUCGGAUAUUCGUGACAAUCUUGUAUCUCGCUACUCAUCUUUGGGAUCUUGUGAGUCUAUUCAAAAGAAUGAUGGAUCCUCUUUCCUCCUAAUACGUCCCUCUAUUAUCGAAUUGAGCGGAUAUUUGCCAAAGUUAUAUGUGGUAGUGGAAUUAGAGACUGUCAAACUUCUUUCAUAUCAUGGAAAGGUCUUGAAAGAGGAAAAAUUAGAUGGAGGGCACAUUCUGGAUCGCAUAAACGAAGGAAAAUUAUUUAUGUGUCUUGGAAUUGGGAAUCAGACUUUGAAUGAUUCUCUACUUAAGGAUGUUUAUUCAGAACCAUCCAAAAGGGAAGGAGAGAUCGCAUUUAGGAGUCGACAAUGUUCAUUCUUUUUGGAAAACACUCCGGGACUCUGCAACGAAUGUCAAUCCUUACUUACAACACUCAAUAAUAUGGAAGAUAGUUAUGAAAAUGAUUCAAUGGAUUAUGAUUGGACAUUAUCAGAGCUUAAAGAAGAAGAUGGUGAUGAUGAAGCCUUUGAUGACAGCAAUUACGCUAUGAAUCUCAACGAAUGCUCCAAAUGCUUCAAAACAUUCAAAAGUUCUUCCUCACUCAAUCGUCAUAAGCGAAAAUGUCUAAAUUACCUUGGAACUAAUGAGAAGAAAUCAAAGCUUAAAAAAGAAGAGGAAGAAGACUACAAUGAGGACAAUGUGACUCUCCACAAAUGCAUGAAAUGCCUCAAAACAUUUAAUAAUACUUCCUCACUCAAUCGUCAUAAGCGAAGGUGCCCAAAUGAUCCUGGGGUUAAUGAGAAGAUAAUAUCUGAGCUUAAAGAGGAAGAAGUAUUUAAUGAAGAUAAUGUGACUACUAACGAAUGCUCAAAAUGCCUCGAAACAUUCAAUAGUAUAUCCUUACUUAAUCGUCAUGAAGAUAUUUGUCUUAAGGACCCUGACUUUAGGGAAGAGGAAGAAAUAUCCAAACGUACACCUUAUUCUAUUGAUUGUUCUAUUUGUCUCUUAAAAUUAACUACAAAAAGCUCUUAUAUUCGCCAUACCAAUCUUCAUGAAGAACGUAUGAAUCUUAAAGAAGUCAUUAAUUGUCCUCUUUGUGAACAAUCUUUAGAUAAUCGUAAGCUUUUAAAUCCACAUAUCCAUGAAUCUCAUGAUGCCUCAAAAGGAUGUUGUGUACUUUGUUUUGAAAUAGUUUUAAAAGAGCAUUUACCUAGACAUUUUGAAAAACGUCACAAUUAUAAUCAGAAAAAACAUUUAUGCUCUGAAUGUGGCAAGAAAUUCACAUUUCCUAGUGAUCUUCAAAAUCACAUUGCUUAUGCUCAUGAUCUAGGAGGUGAAAAAUCCGUUGUUUGUGAUCAGUGUGGUAAAGUGUUGUCUCACCGUAAAGCAUUAAUGAGGCAUAUAAGAAGAUCUCACAACAAAAGCAGGUCUUAUACAUGUCCCAAAUGUAAUAAAGUAUUUUUCGAAAAAUAUCGUCUUACAAACCACCUUAAAAUUCACGCAGGAUUAAAACCUUUUAAAUGUGCCCGUUGUGAAUAUUGCUGUCUCCGGAAGAGUAACAUGUAUAUCCACUUGCGUCGGGUUCAUAAAAUAGUACCUACCUCAAAUGACGUCGUUACUAUUGCAGAACAAAUUAAAUUAAGUGAGUCCAUUAUCACAGAAAAAACAGAAAGUCCAGUUGGAUAGUUAUAUUUUAGCAUAUUUAUACUUUUAUAUAAAUAGUUCCUAAUCAUUUAAUUUUUGAGGCUAUUUUGGUUUUUAUUUUAUUAUAUUUUCGAACAAAUGUACCAUGUAAUGUCGAUGAUUUGUCUUAAAUUUCGUCCUUCAGUGUAAUUAAGUUCUCAUUUUAAGAUAUGUAAUUUAAUAUGCAUACAUAUUUAUUAAUCAGUAUUAGAAACCUGCGAAUUUACUAAAAAAAUAUUUUCAUAUAAAAGUUUAUUACCAUUAUAGAUGGGAUAGCUUAUCUCAUCUCUGGAACAUUAAAUGUAUUCCACUUAAAGCGACUCCUAUAUGGUAAACAAAUUAUAUUUCCUUUUUUAUAAUUCCGUUCCUGUGUAAUUCUGAUCCAGAUCACAUUAUAAGCUAUAUUAUAGCUUUUUUUAAUUUUUGAGUACCGUCGUGGAUGCCAUGCUCUUAUCAAUUCCUCAAAGAAAGUAAUGAGUUAUGCAUACAAGUUUUAGCUGCCACUGUAUUGGAUACUUGGCUUUCUCUUCUGGAUGAUGUAUUUCUCCAAAUACUAUUGGUCUAAUUUGUAGUGGGUCAAGCAUUGUCCCCAUAAACUAAUAAUAUAUCCAAAAUGUUGAUUGAGGAAUGCUUAAGCCUAAGUCAAUGACAUAACUUUGAACAGACUUGACAAAUUUUCCCAAAGCACUACGACCCACUAGUAUAUACUGAUUCUCAAAAAAUAGAAAGUAUUCAAUGAUUUAAUUUUCGUCUUUAGUAUGAAAUGACUCUUGUAUUAUGAAAGCAAUUUGAGCUGAUGUAGAUAAAUUAAAUACUACCGAUUUUAUAUUCUUUAUUGUUGUUAAAACGGAACAUUGAAAAUGUCCUAGUGAUGGCAAAUUGGAGUUCCGUGAGGAAUGUCAAACAAUGAGUUUUUGGAAAACUGAUCUUCAUUCGAAAUGUUAGGAAGAAAAUGCAGAGGUAAGAGUAUUACAAUAACCCAAGUUUGUUACAGUUAUCAUUCCUACUAUAAAGUGCAUGAUUGUUCCACAUUGCCAAAAGCCUUUAACAAGUUGCCUCGGUGUAGCUAAAUUUAGGUUGAUCACUCAUAUAUAUUACUAAGCUUAAAUGAUAUUCAGGCCAUAGAUGAGUAUACAUUGGUACAUAUAUACAUUAUCAACCUCGAAUUGGUCUGGAUACAUUUUCCGGCAACCAAAUAUUAUAUUCCGUGGAAACAUAAACAAGUAAAUCUAUCACUAUGUGUGUAUACUGUGUACACUUCUCGAGUCAUGGUGCCUUGUCCAGUCGGUUGUAAAUAGUCAAUGUUGUUACAUAUUUAUUAUUAGCAAAUAUAUCUUAGUCAUUAUUAGUAGCCUACCCUAUUCUUUCAUCCGUCAUCAUAUGCAUCAUUAACAUUCAGUAGCAGAGGUCCGUAGUUCCAAGAUCAAGAACCACGACGCGUUAUCUGAUAUGGAAGAAGGACAUAAGAUUAUGGCAAAAAUUCACCGACAUAGAUAAGAAGAAACAGACAAUUGGAAUUCGUUUGUCGCUAAAUGUGAGGUCAAGAGAGGCUACCACGGAAUUAAAAGAUGAAAUAGACUGUGACACUGGUGUUGAAAAUAAAUUCGCCAAACUGAACAAGUUAUUUUUACUUGAAGAAGGUAUAUGGCAGUACUUGUUAUUCCAAGAGCUGUAUGACCUAAGCAGAAGCCAAGGUGAAGAAGAGUCUAGUAAAUGAACAAGGUGAAGUCACAAGAUGCAACAUUUGCAAGAGUGAGUUUCACUGGGCAAGAAAUUGGAAGAAAAGAGGGCCGUGAAAACGUGAUGGCAAUAGAGGAAAACAGAAGAAUGGGUUUACCUCAAUAUUAACCGCAUACGCUGAAGAAGAUGCUGAUAAUAAGUUAGAAGAAUUGUUACAAAAUUCGAAGGGAAAAGCUUUAUUAAAUUCUGGUUGUGCAUGUACUGUUUGUGGUUGGACAACUACAUUGAAAAUAUGAGCAAAUCUGAUCGUAUGAAGAUGGAAGAGUUCACGACAAAAUCAAUUUAUACUUUUGGUAAUCAUCAGAAGACAAAGUCAAAAAUGAAGAUCAAGCUGCCGUGUCAAAUUGGGGCAACGUAUGCUUAUAUAGAUAUAAAGCUACACAGACAAUUUGGUCACCCAUCGUCUAGGAGAUUAGUCGAAUUUAUCAAGAAGUGUAAUUCUAUAGUAAAAAGUUGGUACAAGAAAUAAUUCACAUAACCAAUAAAUGUGAGAUAUGCAUGAAAACGAAGAACCAAGACCAGUUGUUGCUUUACCGAUGGCCAAAAGCUUUAAUGAUGUUGUAUCUAUGGAUCUCAAGUACUGGAAGAAAAACUUUUAUUUUAUGGUAAUGGUCGAUGCAGCUACAAGAUUUUGUGCUGCAUGUACUAUUAGUAACAAGAUACCUUCCAACAUCAUUCAAUGCAUUUUUAGAACAUGGAUAUCAAAAUUUGGGGCACUUAAGAAGUUUCUUAUGGACAAUGGCCGGGAAUUUAGCAAUAAUGAGAUGAUUGGACUGGGAGAAAAAUUUAACAUUAGAAUAAUGAACAUAGCUGCAUACUCUCCAUUUUCGAGUGGUCUAUGUGAGAGGACAAAUGGCAUUUUUGGAGGAUUUUCUCUUUACCAGUUAGUUUUUGGUUUUAACACGAAUUAUCCAUCAUUAGAUGUAUAUAUAUUGCCUACAAUGGAACCAACAACUAAAUCAGAAACAGUGAGAAGAAAUUUGAGUGCAUUAAAUUCAGCUAGAUGUGAAUAAAUGAAAAAUGAAUCAAAUGUCAAAGGGCUCUUUCGCAUAAUAUCAGAGAAGGAGCAACAAAAGAUAUCAAUAUUGGUGAUAUGAUAUUUUACAAACGAAAUAAUGACUCAAAAUAGAAAGUUCCUGGUAAAUUAUUGGAAAAGAUGGUAAAGUGUAUUUAGUACGUCAUGGUGGUUACUCUAUAAGAUGUCAUAUUUGUAUGCUGCGAAAAGAUGUGAAGAUGCGAAAAAGUGUUGUAAAAGAAGAUGUUCCAAUGGUUAAAACAAAUGUUGAACUAGCCCGUGUUAAUGGUAUUGAUCAUGGUUAUAGUCGAAUACAAACAAACGUUGAAGAAGCUCGUGAUGAUGAUGAAGAUUAUCAUUAUGGUCGAAGACAAAGGAAUGUUGUGAAAGCUCGUAUUGAAGAUGAAAAUGUCAUAGCUAGAAGAAGUAGUCCAUGUAAUGAAGAAAAAGUUGUCAUGAAGUAUUGUUUAAUAUUAACUCUGGAGAAGUAAAGAAUGCAAAAAGAAAUUAAACUUACAAUUGGAAAGAAAACAAAGUUUUUGACAUGACAAUGAAAUCCGAACAGAUUCACCUACCUGUAGCAAAGAAAGAUUAAGAAUGGCAAUGAUGUCGAUGAACUCAAAUGGUUGAAUUUGGAACUCCAUGAAUAUGAAAACUGCUUUUUUGCAAGGAGGUCCAAUAACAAGAGAUGUUUUUUUUUGAACCGCCUUAAGGUUAUUAUAUUGGAAAAUUAUGGAAACUCAACAAAGUAGUAUAUAGUCUGGUUGAUGCAGCAGGAGCUUAGUAUAAUCGUUUUAAAAGUUUCUUGUUAGAAAUUGGAAUGACUGUGUCAAAGUUAGACAAUGGUUUUUUUUAUUGGAAAGAAGAUGGAAAACUCAAUAAAAUUAUCUGUAUUCAUGUUGAUGAUUUGAGGUGGAUCUAGUGUAUUUAAACAAAAAAUUGGGAAGAUUCGAAAAGAAUUUCAAACAAAAGUAGAAGAAAUUGGAAAUUUCAAAUACUUUUUGAGUCAAUGUCAGAAGCCAAAAGGAUAGAACUACUAAAAUGGAUCAAUUUCAGUAUAAUUCGUCUAUGGAAGCCAUCAGUAUGAGUGACAAAAGAAGAAAAGAAAAAUGGCAACCUUUUAUAAAAGAUAAAAUCAAAGAAUACAGAUCUAUAAUUGGCCAGCUUAACUGGGUUGCCACCCAAACUCGACAAGAUAUAUCUUUUGGAGUGAGUAUGGGAGUAUCAAAGAUGAAGGAACCAGUGGCACAAUAAAUUAUUAAUGCAAAUAAAAUGGUCCAGAAAGUCCAAUGUUGUAAGAUUUGAAAACGUGCAAAAUUACAUGUUAUACCGAUACAUCCUUUGCAAACGUCGAAAAUAGUGGAUCACAAAUGGGAAUUUUCGUAUUGAUAGAAUAAAAAACCGCAAAAAUUUUCCUAUUGUAUGUGUAUCUGAAAGAAUAAAAAAAGUGGGGAAGUCAACCUUGGCAGCUGAAACUCUGGCACUGUUGGAAGGAGCUGAACUGUGUUUCUACAUCAAUAGUCUAGUGUAUGAAAUUUGUGGAAAUGUCUUCAAACAACGAAGCAAUUAGAGGACAAGAGAUUGAGGAUUGAGAUUGCAAUGCUGAAGGAGAUAAUGGAAAGAUCGGAAAUAAAGAAGUUUGGGUCCAAACAAAAAAUCAAUUGCCGAAUUGUUUUACUAAACAUGGGAGUUCACCACUCGAUCUCAUGGAAGUGAUCCAAACUGGCCGAAUUCGGACGAACACAAAAGAUGGGGAGAAUGUGGAAACAAACAAAUAAAUCUGUCACUAUGUGUGUGUACUGUGUACACUUCUCGUGUCAUUGUGUUUUGUCCAGUCGGUUGUAAAUAAUCAAUGUUGUUUCAUAUUUAUUAUUAGCAAAUAUAUCUUACGUCAUGAUUAGUA
rnacentral:misc_RNA from 1 species